AUGCUUUGUUUGAUUCAGAUUAUGCUAGUGAAUUCAUUUACUUCACCUUACCUUAUGCAGCCAACAGCAGCAGCAGAGGCAAUCAGCAGUCGAGGUGGUCGAGGGCAGAGGCAAUCAGCAGAAGCAAUCAGCAGAGGCAAUCAGCAGUCGAGGGCAGGCGGCAGUGGCAUCAGCAGGUCUACGUGGUUUUCUCGCCGCCGGGGAAGAUCCGCCUUGCCCUGCCUGCCGAAUUCUUCAAGAGGCACAAGAGGGGAGCGGCGACCGGGGUUGGCAGCGGCGGCUGGGGUUGCCGCGGGGGUGAGGAACCGGCGAGCAGGACACGAGCAGGGCCAGGGCCGCGAGCAGGGCCGCGAGGAGGAGGCGCCCGUCGAGGUGGUCGCCUUGGAGGAGCAGCCUCAGCUGGGCGGUAGGGCAGCUCGCCUCCGUGCGGGCGGCCCACGUUCGCAGUGGCGGAGCAACCGCAGGUGGGCGACGGCGCAGGUGGUCGCCCGCUCUUUCUACGGCGGCUGCCGGCGGUGGCUACGACGGCCGCUUGGUCGAAGGAGGAAGAAGCAUAGGUGA
rnacentral:rRNA from 1 species